AGGAUGAACGCUGGCGGCGUGCUUAACACAUGCAAGUCGAACGGUGCUCGCAAGAGCACAGUGGCGCACGGGUGAGGAACACGUAGCUCAUCUGCCUUCAAGCGCGGGAUAACGGUCCGAAAGGAUUGCUAAUACCGCAUAAGCUCACGCGCUGUAGAGGCGUGCGAGAAAAGGCUUCGGUCACUUGAAGAGGAGGCUGCGGCCCAUCAGGUAGUCGGUGUGGUAACGGCGCACCAAGCCAACGAC
rnacentral:rRNA from 1 species